rnacentral:rRNA from 1 species
UUGGGACUGGAAUAAUCCUGGGAAACUGGGGCUAAUGCCAGAUAGGUAAUUAUUCCUGGAAUGGUUUUUUACCUAAAGCUAAGGCGCCCAAGGAUAAGACUGCGGCCUAUUAGAUUGUUGCCAGGGUAAAGUCCUGGCGAGUCGAUAAUGGGUACGGGCCUUGAGAGAGGAAGCCCGGAGUUGGAUUCUGAGACACGAAUCCAGGUCCUACGGGACGCAGCAGGCGCGAAAAUUCCACAAUGCGCGUAAGCGUGAUGGAGGGAUUUGGAGUGCUUUCUCGUUACACGAGGAAGCUUUUGUUAACUGUAAAGAGGUUAUCGAAUAAACGGUGGGUAAUACAGGUGCCAGCCGCCGCGGUAAUACCUGAGCCGUGAGUUGUGACCGCGUUUAUUGGGUUUAAAGCAUUCGUAGCCGGCUCAAAAAGUACCUAAUGAAAUUCCAUGGCUAACUAUGGAGCUUGUUGGGUAUACUAUUGAGCUUGAGACCGGGAGAGGUCGAGGGUAUUCCAGGGGUAGGGGUAGAAUCCUGUAAUCCUUGGAAGACCACCUGUGGCGAAGGCGCUCGACUAGAACGGAUCUGACGGUGAGGGAUGAAAGCCAAGGGAGCGAAAGGGAUUAGAUACCCCUGUAGUCUUGGCUGUAAACGAUAUCCACUAGACAUUGGCAGUCUUAAGGGGGUUGCCAGAGUCGUAGGGAAACCGUUAAGUGGAUCACCUGGGGAGUACGUUCGCAAGGAUGAAACUUAAGGGAAUUGGCGGGGGAGCACACAAGGGGUGGAGGCUGCGGUUUAAUUCGAUUCAACGCGAGGAACCUCACCAGUGGCGACAGCAGGAUGAAGGUCAGGCUGAUGGUCUUACCAAACAAGCUGAGAGGUGGUGCAUGGCCGUCGUCAGUUCGUGCCGUGAGGUGUCGACUUAAGUGUCGUAACGAACAAGACCCGCGCCCUAUGUUACUAUGGGUCUCAUCUGAGGUCCAGUACUCAUAGGGGACCGCUGGCGAUAAGUCAGAGGAAGGAGCGGUCGACGGCAGGUCCGUAUGCUCUGAAUCCACUGGGUUACACGCGGCCUACAAUGACCGGAACAAUGGGAUGCGACUCUGAAAAGAGAAGCUAAUCCUCAAAUCCGGCCUUAGUUCAGAUUGAGGGCUGUAACUCGCCCUCAUGAAGCCGAAAUCCCUAGUAGUCGCUGGUCAUCAUCUAGCGGCGAAUAUGUUCCUGCUCCUUGCACACACUGCCCGUCAAGCCAACCGAGUGGUUUUUUGGCGAGCUUCCGGUUUUUGCCGGGAUCAAGUCACGAUUCUGCAAGGUGGGCUAAGCCGUAACAAGGUA